rnacentral:tRNA from 1 species
CAAGUUAUAGCUCAGUGGGAGAGCACAUGCCUAGCAUCCAUGAGGUCCUGGGUUCAACCCCCAAGUGCCUCCA